CCAUCUUUAGUGUAAUGGAUAUCACAUAAGAUUCCGGUUCUUAUAAUGGGGGUUCGAUUCCCUCAAGAUGGAUCA
rnacentral:tRNA from 3 species